rnacentral:rRNA from 1 species
AAUGAACGCUGGCGGCAGGCCUAACACAUGCAAGUCGAGCGAGCAUUUCGGUGCUAGCGGCGGACGGGUGAGUAACGCGUGGGAACGUGCCCUUUUCUGCGGAAUAGUCCUGGGAAACUGGGGGUAAUACCGCAUACGCCCUUUUGGGGAAAGAUUUAUCGGAGAAGGAUCGGCCCGCGUUGGAUUAGGUAGUUGGUGGGGUAAUGGCCCACCAAGCCGACGAUCCAUAGCUGGUUUGAGAGGAUGAUCAGCCACACUGGGACUGAGACACGGCCCAGACUCCUACGGGAGGCAGCAGUGGGGAAUCUUAGACAAUGGGGGCAACCCUGAUCUAGCCAUGACGCGUGAGUGAUGAAGGCCUUAGGGUUGUAAAGCUCUUUCAGCUGGGAAGAUAAUGACGGUACCAGCAGAAGAAGCCCCGGCUAACUCCGUG